rnacentral:rRNA from 2 species
UGCGUAGGCGGCUUCUUAAGUCGGAUGUGAAAUCCCUGAGCUUAACUUAGGAAUUGCAUUCGAUACUGGGAAGCUAGAGUAUGGGAGAGGAUGGUAGAAUUCCAGGUGUAGCGGUGAAAUGCGUAGAGAUCUGGAGGAAUACCGAUGGCGAAGGCAGCCAUCUGGCCUAAUACUGACGCUGAGGUACGAAAGCAUGGGGAGCAAACA